UUGAAUGAACUUGGCGUGGUUGUUGCUGGCCCUCUCGGGGGCAUGUGCACACCCGCCAUCUCCAUCUCUCCACCUGUGCACCUCUUGUAGACUGGAAUAGACUUUCCGAGGCAACUCGGUCGGGAGGAAUGCUGUCGCUUUGCGUCGGCUUUCUUUGCACUUCCAAGCCUAUGUUUUUCAUAUACCCGUAGUAUGUAACAGAAUGUAUCAUUUGGGCCUCAGUGCCUAUAAACCAUAUA
rnacentral:misc_RNA from 1 species